AAAGGUAGCAUAAUCAGUUGACUCUUAAUUGGGGCCGGGAAUGAACGAAUAUACGGAGAAGAGCUGUCCCUUUAGUGUGUGCGAAUUUGGUUAACAAGUGCAAAUACUUGUACACUUUAAUAAGACGAGAAGACCCUUGAAGCUUUAGAAAAUUCUUUUGUUGGGGCGACAGAAUUACACUUAACUAAUUUGUUAACACCUGAAGGUUACAUGCGCGUUUAAGCUACUCGAGGGAUAACAGCAUAAUUUUAUAAAGUUUGUGACCUCGAUGUUGGACUAGGGACUCCAAAGCCCAGAAGGAUUUGGAGGUUGCUCUGUUCGAGCAGUACCCCCUACAU
rnacentral:rRNA from 1 species